CAAGACGAAGGCAAUGCGGGUUUCCUGGUGCUAGAGUGUAAGCUCCUUGAAGGAAGCUCUACCGAUCCGGGUAAGCUCUGAAGAAGGGACGAGUCAGUGCUGCAAUACGGUGCUAUCUUCCUGCCCCGUGGAAAACGGUGUCAGGAAAUCAGUCCCUCCCAAGGAUUCAGACUCAAGUCUCAACGCAGCUUUGCAAAGCUACUUCUGCAGCGACACAGGAACUCCAACACUGCAAACGCAAAGCAAACAGGCGCGCUGAAGGCUGAGGACGUCUGGGUGCCCUUUCUAAACUUCCCCAGGGCAGCAAGAUGUGCGCGAU